rfam:Fusarium graminearum chromosome 1, complete genome
GGCAACGUGGCGGAGUGGUUAUCGCGUAUGCCUCGAAAAUAUUCAAGUAAGCAUAUUCCUUCGGGAGCGCAGGUUCGAAUCCUGCCGUUGUCG